CACGUGAAAUUCCGUCGGAAUCUGGGAGGACCAUCUCCUAAGGCUAAAUACUCUCUAGUGACCGAUAGUGAACCAGUACCGUGAGGGAAAGGUGAAAAGCACCCCGGAAGGGGAGUGAAAUAGAACCUGAAACCGUGUGCUUACAAGUAGUCAGAGCCCGUUAAUGGGUGAUGGCGUGCCUUUUGUAGAAUGAACCGGCGAGUUACGAUUUGAUGCAAGGUUAAGCAGUAAAUGUGGAGCCGUAGCGAAAGCGAGUCUGAAUAGGGCGUUUAGUAUUUGGUCGUAGACCCGAAACCAGGUGAUCUACCCUUGGUCAGGUUGAAGUUCAGGUAACACUGAAUGGAGGACCGAACCGACUUACGUUGAAAAGUGAGCGGAUGAACUGAGGGUAGCGGAGAAAUUCCAAUCGAACCUGGAGAUAGCUGGUUCUCUCCGAAAUAGCUUUAGGGCUAGCCUCAAGUGAUGAUUAUUGGAGGUAGAGCACUGUUUGGACGAGGGGCCCCUCUCGGGUUACCGAAUUCAGACAAACUCCGAAUGCCAAUUAAUUUAACUUGGGAGUCAGAACAUGGGUGAUAAGGUCCGUGUUCGAAAGGGAAACAGCCCAGACCACCAGCUAAGGUCCCAAAAUAUAUGUUAAGUGGAAAAGGAUGUGGCGUUGCCCAGACAACUAGGAUGUUGGCUUAGAAGCAGCCAUCAUUUAAAGAGUGCGUAAUAGCUCACUAGUCGAGUGACACUGCGCCGAAAAUGUACCGGGGCUAAACAUAUUACCGAAGCUGUGGAUUGUCCUUUGGACAAUGGUAGGAGAGCGUUCUAAGGGCGUUGAAGCAUGAUCGUAAGGACAUGUGGAGCGCUUAGAAGUGAGAAUGCCGGUGUGAGUAGCGAAAGACGGGUGAGAAUCCCGUCCACCGAUUGACUAAGGUUUCCAGAGGAAGGCUCGUCCGCUCUGGGUUAGUCGGGUCCUAAGCUGAGGCCGACAGGCGUAGGCGAUGGAUAACAGGUUGAUAUUCCUGUACCACCUAUAAUCGUUUUAAUCGAUGGGGGGACGCAGUAGGAUAGGCGAAGCGUGCGAUUGGAUUGCACGUCUAAGCAGUAAGGCUGAGUAUUAGGCAAAUCCGGUACUCGUUAAGGCUGAGCUGUGAUGGGGAGAAGACAUUGUGUCUUCGAGUCGUUGAUUUCACACUGCCGAGAAAAGCCUCUAGAUAGAAAAUAGGUGCCCGUACCGCAAACCGACACAGGUAGUCAAGAUGAGAAUUCUAAGGUGAGCGAGCGAACUCUCGUUAAGGAACUCGGCAAAAUGACCCCGUAACUUCGGGAGAAGG
rnacentral:rRNA from 1 species